AUAGUGAAACGAGUUGUAACGGUCUCGAAAAUUUAAAAGGAAAUACAUAUAAUAAUCUGAGUGCGGAAGUGAAAUAAAAGAUUAAGGUUAACAUCCCUACACAAUAACUUAAAAGUAUUAAACAACAUCACGGAAUAAGUUCUUUGAAAGAAAUACGAGAAAUGAGAAAGAUAAAGGAAACUAUAAAGCAUCUAGCAUCUAC
rnacentral:lncRNA from 1 species